rnacentral:rRNA from 1 species
UACAGAGGUCUCAAGCGUUGUUCGGAUUUACUGGGCGUAAAGGGUGUGUAGGCGGCGGUUUCAGUCACGUGUAAAAGCCCCAAGCUCAACUUGGUGGUGGCGCGUGAUACUAAAUUGCUAGAGAUUUUGAGAGGGGGUUGGAAUUCACGGAGUAGCAGUGAAAUGCGUAGAGAUCGUGAGGAACACCAAAGGCGAAGGCAGGCCCCUGGAAAAAUACUGACGCUGAGGCACGAGGGCUAAGGUAGCGAACGGG